rfam:Gilliamella apicola SCGC AB-598-I20 SCG598I20_12800, whole genome shotgun sequence.
UUGUUCUCAACGGGGUGCCCUGAAGGGCUGAGAGUGUUAGAGUGACUGACAUAACUCGUCGAACCUGAACUGGAUAAUGCCAGCGGAGGGAUUUGAGUUAAUAUAUCUG